GACGAACGCUGGCGGCGUGCUUAACACAUGCAAGUCGGGCGGAAAGGCCCUUUCGGGGGUACUCGAGCGGCGAACGGGUGAGUAACACGUGAGUAAUCUGCCCUUGGCUUUGGGAUAACCACCGGAAACGGUGGCUAAUACCGGAUACGACCACUCCCGGCAUCGGGUGGUGGUGGAAAGUUUCUUCGGCCAGGGAUGUGCUCGCGGCCUACCAGCUUGUUGGUGGGGUAAUGGCCUACCAAGGCUUCGACGGGUAGCCGGCCUGAGAGGGUGACCGGCCACGCUGGGACUGAGACACGGCCCAGACUCCUACGGGAGGCAGCAGUGGGGAAUAUUGGACAAUGGGCGGAAGCCUGAUCCAGCAACGCCGCGCGAGGGAUGACGGCCUUCGGGUUGUAAACCUCUUUCAGUACCGACGAAGCGCCGAUGAUGGCGGUGACGGUAGGUACAGAAGAAGCACCGGCCAACUACGUGCCAGCCGCCGCGGUAA
rnacentral:rRNA from 1 species